UACGUAGGGUGCGAGCGUUAAUCGGAAUUACUGGGCGUAAAGCGUGCGCAGGCGGCUUUGCAAGACAGAUGUGAAAUCCCCGGGCUCAACCUGGGAACUGCUUUCAAAACUGCUGAGCUAGAGUACGGUAGAGGGUGGUGGAAUUUCCUGUGUAGCGGUGAAAUGCGUAGAUAUGCGGAGGAACACCAAUGGCGAAGGCAGCCCCCUGGGAUAACACUGACGCUCAUGCACGAAAGCGUGGGGAGCAAACAGG
rnacentral:rRNA from 1 species